rnacentral:rRNA from 1 species
CUAUGUGUUGUUGGGUAGGGGAGCGUUCUGUAAGCCUGUGAAGGUGUACUGUGAGGUAUGCUGGAGGUAUCAGAAGUGCGAAUGCUGACAUAAGUAACGAUAAAGCGGGUGAAAAGCCCGCUCGCCGGAAGACCAAGGGUUCCUGUCCAACGUUAAUCGGGGCAGGGUGAGUCGACCCCUAAGGCGAGGCCGAAAGGCGUAGUCGAUGGGAAACAGGUUAAUAUUCCUGUACUUGGUGUUACUGCGAAGGGGGGACGGAGAAGGCUAUGUUGGCCGGGCGACGGUUGUCCCGGUUUAAGCGUGUAGGCUGGUUUUCCAGGCAAAUCCGGAAAAUCAAGGCUGAGGCGUGAUGACGAGGCACUACGGUGCUGAAGCAACAAAUGCCCUGCUUCCAGGAAAAGCCUCUAAGCAUCAGGUAACAUCAAAUCGUACCCCAAACCGACACAGGUGGUCAGGUAGAGAAUACCAAGGCGCUUGAGAGAACUCGGGUGAAGGAACUAGGCAAAAUGGUGCCGUAACUUCGGGAGAAGGCACGCUGAUAUGUAGGUGAAGUCCCUCGCGGAUGGAGCUGAAAUCAGUCGAAGAUACCAGCUGGCUGCAACUGUUUAUUAAAAACACAGCACUGUGCAAACACGAAAGUGGACGUAUACGGUGUGACGCCUGCCCGGUGCCGGAAGGUUAAUUGAUGGGGUCAGCGCAAGCGAAGCUCUUGAUCGAAGCCCCGGUAAACGGCGGCCGUAACUAUAACGGUCCUAAGGUAGCGAAAUUCCUUGUCGGGUAAGUUCCGACCUGCACGAAUGGCGUAAUGAUGGCCAGGCUGUCUCCACCCGAGACUCAGUGAAAUUGAACUCGCUGUGAAGAUGCAGUGUACCCGCGGCAAGACGGAAAGACCCCGUGAACCUUUACUAUAGCUUGACACUGAACAUUGAGCCUUGAUGUGUAGGAUAGGUGGGAGGCUUUGAAGUGUGGACGCCAGUCUGCAUGGAGCCGACCUUGAAAUACCACCCUUUAAUGUUUGAUGUUCUAACGUUGACCCGUGAUCCGGGUUGCGGACAGUGUCUGGUGGGUAGUUUGACUGGGGCGGUCUCCUCCUAAAGAGUAACGGAGGAGCACGAAGGUUGGCUAAUCCUGGUCGGACAUCAGGAGGUUAGUGCAAUGGCAUAAGCCAGCUUGACUGCGAGCGUGACGGCGCGAGCAGGUGCGAAAGCAGGUCAUAGUGAUCCGGUGGUUCUGAAUGGAAGGGCCAUCGCUCAACGGAUAAAAGGUACUCCGGGGAUAACAGGCUGAUACCGCCCAAGAGUUCAUAUCGACGGCGGUGUUUGGCACCUCGAUGUCGGCUCAUCACAUCCUGGGGCUGAAGUAGGUCCCAAGGGUAUGGCUGUUCGCCAUUUAAAGUGGUACGCGAGCUGGGUUUAGAACGUCGUGAGACAGUUCGGUCCCUAUCUGCCGUGGGCGCUGGAGAACUGAGGGGGGCUGCUCCUAGUACGAGAGGACCGGAGUGGACGCAUCACUGGUGUUCGGGUUGUCAUGCCAAUGGCACUGCCCGGUAGCUAAAUGCGGAAGAGAUAAGUGCUGAAAGCAUCUAAGCACGAAACUUGCC